UGCGUAGGCGGCCAGACAAGUCAGAGGUGAAAGGCUACGGCUUAACCGUAGUAAGCCUUUGAAACUGUUUGGCUUGAGUGCAGGAGAGGAAAGUGGAGUUCCUAGUGUAGCGGUGAAAUGCGUAGAUAUUAGGAGGAACACCAGUGGCGAAGGCGACUUUCUGGACUGUAACUGACGCUGAGGCACGAAAGCGUGGGGAGCGAACAG
rnacentral:rRNA from 1 species